UGGGUUCCUGAUGCUGCCAUGGGCGCCAGGCUCCUCUGCUGUCUGACUCUCUGCCUCCUGGGAGCAGGCCUGGUGGAAUCUGGAGUCACCCAGACCCCCAAGUACCUGAUCAAAUCAAGAAAGCAGAACGCGACUCUGAGAUGUUCCCCUGACUCUGGACACCGCUCCGUGAACUGGUACCAACAGGCCCGGGGCCAGGGCCCCCAGUUCCUCGUUCAGUAUUACCGUGGACAAGCUAAUAGAGAAGAAAACCUGCCAGAUCGAUUCUCAGGAGAACAGUUCAGUGAUUUUCGCUCGGAGCUGAACCUGAGCUCCUUGGAGCUAACGGACUCAGCCGUGUACCUCUGUGCCAGCAGCCAAGACACAGCCCUGCGUGAUCAGGUGCCUCUGGGACAAAAACACUCCUGCCCCAGCUCAGGAAGUGUGGUGAGGGUGUUGGCUGCCAGCCAGCCAGCCAGUCCUAGGCUUUGGUAGAAUGGA